AUCUUUGCGCUUGGAGUAUUGAUGCAAUUAGUGAGGUGAAAUCGAGACACAUCAAUUGCUCGUUGAAACUAUUUCAUUUCUUUCAUAGAACAUUAUGAUUUAAUUUAAGAAUUUUUUUUAACUUAGAUUAAAA
rnacentral:snRNA from 1 species